AAUUUGAUGUACAUUAUACAUAACUACGUUAAAGUGUAGCUAACAUAUGUACAGUAAGAGUGAGACCUAUCAGCUAGUUGUUAAGGUAAUGGCUUAACAAGGCAAUAACGGGUAACGGUAUUACUUUGUAAUAUUCCGGAGAAGGAGCCUGAGAGACGGCUACUAAGUCUAAGGAUUGCAGCAGGGGCGAAACUUGACCUAUGGAUAUUAUCUGAGGCAGUUAUGGGAAGUAACAUAGUUGUUUCACAUUUUAAACGCCCCC
rnacentral:rRNA from 1 species